AUUGACAGGUACAAACCAUCAGCGGGGCCCCUGGUGAAGAUCCAACUACUGACUACAUGAAUGUACUAGGCAUGAUCUUCAGCAUGUGUGGUCUAAUGAUGAGAUUGAAGUGGUGUGCUUGGGUUGCGCUAUACUGCUCCUGCAUCAGCUUUGCCAACUCGAGAGUCAAUGACGAUACGAAACAAAUGCUCAGCAGCUUCAUGUUGUCCAUUUCUGCAGUUGUGAUGUCCUACCUUCAAAACCCACAGCCAAUGACACCUCCAUGGUCCAAUAUAUAAACAGUUCUAUAUUAUCGAUUGUUUUUGGUUGAAUGGAAAUGUAUAAUUGCCUCACCAUACUUGUAUUAAAAUUGUACUGCUGAAUACAGUGACAAUUUUAGUUUUAAUAAACUAGCUAAUGGUGCCAGGUUUGUAUUAUGAUGUGCAAUAUGGAACAGUGCCAACAUUUGAUGAUGUGCAUGAGUUACAAAAUGGCUUGGUUUGUUAAUCUUUUAAUUUGUGUAGCCUGCACUAUAUAAUUCUUGUGUUAUACUUCCCAUCCAAAAGUUUCUUGUAAGCAGCUUGUCUUUUUUUUUCUUUAACAAAUGGACAAAUUUGUAUUGUCCCAUAACAUUAUCAUGUCAUUCAUGUCAGUGUAAAAGGCAAUAGCAUGAAGGUCAAAGCUUGAAAUAUCCUGGAAUAUGAAGUACCAUACGAGUUGAUCCUCGAGUGACAACCACAUUAGUACAGUAGAUAGCCUCCAUAUUAGACAUAAAAGGAAGACUUGAUCACCACGUUAGAAAUAGAAGAGUGAAAGGGAAUUGGGAGUGGAAUGGUAGGCAGUCAGUAUGGGGGAAGGGAGACUUUUGGAGUACAGUACAGUACUGUCCAUUCAGUAGAGCCAGGCUGUCACCUGAUCGGAUGACAGGCAAAGUUAUCAGUCACUAGCACUGAUUUUAUAGUUUUCUUCGAGGUGACAUCAACUGCAUAAUAUCUUUUUGAUCAUGAAAUUACAUUAACUCCAACCAGUUACUGCUGGCUAAUAAUUCUUAGACAUAAAGGAAAGAGGACAAAUCAGAAGAGCAUGUUAAGAUAGGGCUACCUGAAUAGGUUUCAGUUGUGGUUACUCCAUCAGAGGGGCGUUCAUGGGGAUAAAGACAGAUUCUACAGUAAAUUGUUAAUUCCUCUUUUAGGACUGCCUCCUCUUCCAUUUUGCUUAGUUAUGCAAAGUUGUUGUUUUAUGGUUACAAAGGAAACAUAUCAUUCCUUAAUUUCUUAUUUUGACUGUAUCAGAAUUUAGAAUUUCUAAAAUAUAGUUACAGGUUGUAAGUACAGUAUGUAUAACAGUUUAUACAGUACUAUACUUAGUGUAUAAAAUAUAUAUUAAUGCAGGCCAUAUGUAUUAUUGUUAAAUAUGUACUUUUGUAUUUCAUAGUAAACCUUUUACCAUAAUAUAUAAUUAUCUUCUCCUUUCAAUAGUGCAUUUGUCAUGUUGAAUUAUAUGGUAUAUCAGGAUUUUAUCGGUACUACCUUGUUGACUGCGUGUUCCUCCCGUUACUAUACUGUAUACAGUAUCUCUCCUUCCCAUUACAGUAUUACGCUGAGAUGUAUCAGUAAGGUGGUUGGGCUCACUGCCUCAAGCAAAGAAUAUUCACUAUACAAUACUAUAUUGAAUAUAAAUUCAGUGGAUUUUGUACUACAUGGGAACCUGGUCCAAGAUAGGGAUUUUAAUCUAGCCAGUGACCUGUACAAUGAAUUUGGAAUCUAGAUAAUGCAGAAUUCCUCCAAGACUGAUAAUUUUAAAUUAAUAUUACUAAAAAAUUCAAACAGUGCUUUUUCCAUGGGAUUUCUGCAUCAAAUUAUGCACAAAUGUAUGUCCUAUCAUGUGCACAAAUAAAGGGUGAAUGCUGUGGAUCUUGUUGUCCAUUAAAAUCUGUACAAUAAAGCUUUCAGUCACAUGCCAUCCCUAAGGUG